GGAUCAAUUUGCUGGUCGUGCCUCUGGUACGUACUGGUAUUAUUGGUUUCUCCCUUCUGACGAACCAUGAUGUCAUUAAUUUGGUGUCUUGGGGAAUCAGGACUGUUACUUUGAAAAAAUUAGAGUGUUUAAAGCAGGCUCACGCUUGAAUACAUUAGCAUGGAAUAAUGAAAUAGGACGUUUGAUUCUAUUUUGUUGGUUUCUAGAGUCGCCGUA
rnacentral:rRNA from 1 species